UAAACAGUUUUCGACCAACCAUAGAACAGCGUGGGUUCACCGAAGGGUGGCUAGGCAGAGGUUAAGCUAGUCAGAAAUAUCCCUGUGGGUUUUGCCAUGAGGGAAGAUGGUUUGUGAUGCCAGCAUGUGCACACCAUCAGAUAACUUUCCAUCACCACUUUGUUCUGUCUUUGUGCAGCUGCUGUUAUGUAAAAUGAUACCUUCCUGCAGUUGGGCCCCGAUCGGCAAGGCAAUUACCACGUUUUCUCUGCUGCUCAUCACCACUUUGACUCAAUCAUUCACACGUCCACACACACAGCUCCAAAACCAGGAGGGAGUUUAAUUAAUCUCCAGCACUUUUUGAAACCCACAAAUGGAGCCAUCCCAAGAGAAUGCCUCCCUUGGAGCCCAAUCACAGUUGCCGCAAUUCGCCAUUCCGUUGACGACGGAAACGUAAGCAACUCCUCGGCUACCCUCACGACUGGUUUUUAUCUUUACACCUUCAUCCUAGUUUAGUGAUAGCAAUUCCCCUGCAGGACGGGGGUUUGUGUUCUGUUUAGUCUGGGGAGUCGAAGAUAGAAAAGUGUCUUUUUCACUUUCCGGCUCCUCUGCCAAGGUGUAAAAAGACCUCUUAGAUCCAAUUUGGUCUUCAACUUGGGGAUUGAACCCAGGGUCUCGGAAGCAGCUGCCUAGCAUUGCCUUUGAAAGGAGAAGAUUUAGACAGCGUGCAGCAACAAAUGGAUCAAAUGAGGGCAUGAUCUGAAUGUGGUGCAUUUCCAUAACUGAAUAUUUGGACCUUUAGCCUGUGUAACGAGGGGGGGGGGGUGAGGAAGAAGUGACGGUGGCUUCAGAACAACUUGAAGAAAUCAAAGAAUUGAUGACCAGUUUUUGGCCAGAUGGGUGGUCCUCCGUUUAUGGCUCAGUUCUAAGGCAGCGCCGUACUUUGAAUUUGCACUUACAAAAUACAGAGCGGUCUAUCACUAAACUAUGUUUACCCAGUAGAUAAGUCAUAGUUACAAUCGAAAUUUGCAUGAAAAACACAUCUCACCUAUAAAUAUAAAAGCCAAUAAAAAAAUAUUACAGGGCUAGCUGAGCUCUCCUUGUGUUCUUACAUGCAAUGCAAAUAAACUAGCUUAUUUCACGACCUCAUUAUCUCUAAACCUCGUAUAUCUGACUGUCGUAAACCUAGGAUGAGCUGUAAAUUCCUGAUCACAGUAAGUAGUUCACCAGACAAAAAAUCCAGAUAAUAUUUCAUUGAAAUAUUCCUCCCUUUGUGGAGGUACUUUCCUGCCAAACACGAGGAAGACGAAAAUAUCUAACAUCUAAUCACAGAAAUUCUUGCCAGAAAUCAAGGAAAAAGGUAAUCUUAAAUUGAGUUAUCUCACAGACUCUUAACACGUCAUCGUAACAAAUAAGGUGUUCAAGUAUGAAAUGUGACUAAAGGCUGAAAAUAGCUGCAGUCCCAGAUUUAAUUUCCUCUUGUCAUUUAUUCUGGCCCCGGAUCCCGUGGGGUGUGGGAGGUAAAAUAUCAUCCCUGAGGGGUGAAAAGAAACAUCAGUCACCUCUGGCCAAACUGUAGCUUCCUUCAAGGACUCCUAGAUAAAUAUUUGAAGUGGUGGAUGCAGCUCGUGAUAAUUGCUGAGGUUAAGAGGGUACGGGCAGACGGGGGCCAGCAGUGGCUUAGCACAGGAAGGCUGCGGGUUCAAGGCCAACUACACCCAGAAAGAGCAGACGACCAGCUGCAGACAGGAGAAAAAAGCACUAAGGUUUUGUAGCACAAAAGGAUUGACUGUACUUUUUGCCAUUGGGUGCUAUAAGGACAAUAAGUGUCAGGAAUGGCUGCACGUUCAAGACCAAAAAAUGCACACAGAGAGCAGACUAUAGACUGCAGACAGCAGGAACAAUGAGACCAAAGAUGAGAUGACUUGCAAACAAGAGCAGGGAGUGGCGGCGAGCGACGAAUGGAGAGGAGACGGCACAGAGACGCUAGCCAGAGCCAAUGAACAGAAAGGUCAUGUUCAGGAAAACACACUGUGAAUUUGCUUUUGUGUCUGAAGUCAAAGUACAUGAGAGGUAUUCAGAAAGGACUAAAAGCAGUUAUCUUGGGUAGGGAAAUGCUCAUAAAAGCAUAAAGUCGCACACGCUGGGCACAUCAACCCACGGCCAAAAGCGCUACAGAGACGAGAGGGCGUGGAAAAGAAGAGAGUGAAUUACAGCUUCUUUUGUGGGGGAACAUAUUUGUCACCACCGUGGCUUUCCUACUCUCAAACGCUAAUGUUGAACCAUCCUAACACCGUGAAAUUCUGAAGAUGGCCAAAAGUUCAAAGCGGGAGCCACCAUCGUGCAUAACAUGCGAGAACUCGGCAAAGCUUCUAUGCAAUAAAUGAUUUAUUGUCCUCU